rnacentral:tRNA from 1 species
GAGAUACUAGUAAAGUAUUACACUGCUUUGUCAAGGCAGAGUCGCGGGUGAGACCCCCGCGUAUCUUA